UUUAAGUGCAACCAUAAGUUUCCACGCCCAACUUUAAUCGUUUAUCCUAUUUGAAAAUUUUGUAUAAUUAGUAUUUUUGUUGUUAGGGUAUGAUAAAAAAAUGAAUAAUACUUAUGUUUUUAAUUUUUUUUAAUUUUUUUCAAAUAAGACGAAAUAGUUAAUGUUGGGCGCGAAAAACCAUGGCUGCACUUAAA
rfam:Oryza sativa (indica cultivar-group) chromosome 7, whole genome shotgun sequence.